GGGGAUUUAGCUCAGUGGCGUAAGCACCUGCCUUGCAAGCAGGUGGUCGUGAGUUCGAUCUCUGGCACCA
rnacentral:tRNA from 1 species